CCUGAUUUACAACCCUCUUUCCUCUUCAUGUUGACAAAUACAAUACUGUGCUAUGUAUAUGUAUCCAACUUUUUACACACACUGCUAGAAACUGUAAGAUGAGCAGAGCCUCGGCGAGCAGAAGCUGCGGACGAGCUUGCUCCCAGUGAGGUAAGGCUGGGAUCUACUGGGAAAGUCUCAAAGAUUGACCGGUCGACUGGUUGGCGACCACAAUACUGGAGGAACUCAGCAGGUCAGGCAUCACAACGAAGAGGAGGACGAUCUUGCUCAACUGGAAGGAGGCCGCCCUGCCCACUCAUGUUCAAUGGCUAUCUGAUGUUAUGUUGUGCCUUGAUCAAGAGAAGAUUAGUUGUUCAAUUUCUGAUUCUAAACAUGAUCUUCUAAUGUUAUGGGGCCCCUUUCUGAGUUAUUUUCAUAAUCUUUGAACUGUUAUUAAAGUAUGGAUGAGCCAUUAUUAUUAUAUUAUAUGGCAAGGUAUUUUUUUUCUUUUUUUUUGCCAACCAGCUCAUUUUGGUAGUGGGGGUAGAUUCUUUUAUAAUAAAAUAUAAUUAUUUUAUUUUAUUUCAUUAUUCAAUCUUUUUUUUUCUACAUGAUUGAUUUGGAAUAUGGGAUACUGUGAUCAUAUCACUGUGAUUUAAACGUAAUGUAAUUCAUAUUACUUGUAUUCUUAUGAAUUUUGUAUUGGUAUUCAUGCAAUUUAUAUAAUAUAAAUAAAAAUAUUGAAAGAGAAAAACCAUUACCAAUGCUUCCACAAAUUCUUCAGCUACCUCUUUCAGAACCCUGGGGUGCAGUUUCUCUAGUCCAUGUGACUUAUCUAACUUCAGAUCUUUCAACUUCUCAAGAUCCAUCUUACUAAUAGCAACUACACCUCACUUCUGACCCCGACGUGCUCAAUGGUAAAGGCCAACACAAAAUAUUUAAA